rnacentral:tRNA from 1 species
UCCCCUCUAGCUCAGAGGCAGAGCGCCUGACUGUUAAUCAGGGGGUCGAUGUAUCGUAACCAUCGGGGGAAGCAA